UACACACAAGAGAAGACCCUGGCAUGAAUGGGGCCAUUCCAUUUCUAACUAUUCUAUAAAAUAUGUUUAAAAAAAAUCAACUUUUUAAAAAACUGGGCCACGGACUCAUCUUUGUAUUAUACUCCUAAAAGGAAAGAUUUAAACUUCUCAGGGGACGGAUACAAAGCAGGGGAACCCGAUUAUCCAGCUGAAACUGUACAAAUAUCAGUUCGCACACCCAGCCUCAGAACAAUAGGUAUUGUAAUGAAUUCCCUUUCUCCAUGAAAGCCCUCUGCUUCUAUCCCCUGGUUUGCUAUUUUCUCCUAAGGUCGCCAUCCUGUCUGAGCUAUAAAGAAAUGAUGCAUUGCUUUCCUUUCCUCCUCACUACCUCUUGAAUUUGGUACAAAAAUUAAACCAUUCAUUUUCAUUUUUCUCAAGAGUUUUCUUGCCUUAAUGAUUAUUUUUAUGAGAAGAAAGGAGAGAAAAGAGUGAAGAUGAAAUAUGCACAGAGACUAGACAAAAUCCUGAAGGGGGCAAAAACGUGAAGAAUAAAGUUUUUCCAACAGGUUUUGGCCCAAUUUGUGGUUCCUCCUGCAAUCUGUUUUGCUUAAGUCUGCUGUAUUGUGCGGUACAUUUCGCUGGUUACAAAGAUGGACACAUACCAAGUCAUGUUGAGAUUCAGAGUUGUUUCUGGGAAGAAAUCCUGACUUGAAUUCAGUGGAAAUACACCUACAAUCUUGAAAUGAAUGUACAAUAUAUUGAGACCUUCCAGUCAACUGAGUUGAGGAUACAGCCAGUGCCAG